GGGGAAUGUCAGACGGAGAGACCUCCGAAGAUUUCGUGCUCGUUUCCCCCGGCCCUCAGGCUCCGGGCACUGAAAGGCAGUCACCCACCGCAGCCCUUGCAGCCCUUGCAGCCCUUCCAGCCCUGUCUACAGCGCCUCGGGCCUGGGGGCAGUGAGUGAGGGGUGGGUGUUGCUGAAACCAUCCGUAACGGCUCCAACGUUCGCUGAGGAGAGCCCGGCCAACUCCUUCCUCCGUGGCCGGAACUGGGAUUGGCAGCCACCAUUUGCAUGUGAUGUUGAUAAACUUCAUUUUACGCCACGUAUCCAGAGACUGAAUGAAUUGGAGUCCCGCUCUGUCGCCCAGGCUGGAGUGCAGCAGCAUUAUCCUGGUUCACUGCAACCUCUGCCUCCUGGGUUCAAGUCAUUCUCCUGCCUCAGCCUCCCAAGUAGCUGGGAUUACAGGCCCAAACUCGUGUAAAAUUGAAUUUCUUGGACCAGAUUGCAAAGUACUGGGAGUUACAGGGAAGUACUCUGAAAAUUCCACAUGUGGAGAGGAAGAUCUUGGACU
rnacentral:sRNA from 1 species